GAUCAUCUACAUUCGAUAACCUGUAUUAUUACAAAAAUUCUUACAAAAUAUAAUAUAUACAUCAAUGUUGUCUAACCUUUAACAUUACAUAACAUGAUACCCAAAAAUAUUACAUCACAUCCAAAAAUAUCUAUUUACAUAGCUAUUUAAUAUAUAUUACAAAGGUUAUAGCUAACAAUACGAUUACUCCUGCAAUUUUCCUUUUCCCUUGUCGGAUGACGACCCUCCAGCCUUUUCAUUUUUAACUGAAAUUCAUUUAGCAAGAAUAAGCAAUAAAAUUGCCCAGCAAGUAAUACUUAUUUAAGUGAAAUAGUUAAUAAGAAAACAAAUAAUAGCUUAAUAACUGAAAAGAGUAUUGUUUGAAUAAAAUCAAGCUGUGACUACGGAGUUAUGUAAAUUCUUUAGAAUAAAGGAAUUUUAAAUGCAAAGAUUAGCAAUAAAAGAUUUAAUUAAGUAAUUGAGGGUCACAAGACCACUGAACUAUGUCCAAGGGUUCAGGUAUCUCUACCUUAACCUUUAUCCGUCAAAGACUGUGGACAACCAUCUUCGUAUGCAGGGGAUCAACCCUUUGUACCUAUGUAUUGUGCACAAACAUAUUAACGCAAUAGCGUAAUUCGGAACCAUAGUCUUCGAUAACAUGUUCCCUAUUUAAAGGGUUGUUCAACUCAGUCUAUCACAUGAGUUCUUAUUAGAAGAAUUCUGAUGAAUAUAACUUCUUGGCGAAUCUUAGAACAUUUAUCAAUUAUGGUCUAGCCGAACUCAAAUGACAUAGACUUACAAUACAAAUUCAUAUAUCAAAGAAAGCUUCAAUAACAUUUGAAUAAUAAUUUCAUAGGAAAGUUACUAAUUGAAGAUGCCAAAUAUUCAUUUCAAGCUUAACAAGAACCUUUGUUCAAGAUUUAUAACUUAGAAAGGAAAGUUAGUAUACUUACCUUCGCGUCGAAAUGUUAUCGAUUCAACUCGUGGUUGUGUGCUCGAGACGGUAUUAUCUAGUACCACACCUAUGUAAUACACAAAAGAUUACUAUAUGGCUUAACACUAAUAUAUUUCAUAAACGUACGUUAAUCUGAACUCAAAUUUUCAAACUUAACAUUCUAACCUUAACUCCCCCCCAUGUGAAUGAACUUGUCAUAUAUAUACAUAACACAAGUUUUUUAUUAUUUUUCAACCAUUUAAUAGCUUAACAUACCUAUUUUCCUGUAAUUAUAUUCAACUCAACUUAUUUAGUUCAUACUAUUUGUUUUAUUAACUUUAGGAUGUAGCUAGAACCAUUCAUAGUUACUACAUCUAAACAUAUUAUGCUUUUAGCUUUACAAUGUAAUUUAAACCAUUCAUAGCUCAAUAUAUAUAAUUAUAUCAAGCCUUUAGCUUAAACUUGCUUUUAAAUGAUUUAUUUCUAAUUUUAUUCAAUUAUUGAAUUUAUUUAUGAUUUUAUAUACUAAUUAUAGACAAUGUAUUAAUUCUUAUGUAAUUUGUUGUCUCAUUAACACCUCACAUGAGUUAGCAUCAAAAGCAUUAAAACAGCCUAGCCGCCCAACCAUUUGCCCAGCUAAACUGCUGCAGCGCAGCGCUCGCGCCCCUGCUGCUGCUGCCUGCUGUAGUGGCAGCCCUCGACUAACAUAGCCACUUUGCACAUUUUUAACUUUUAAAUCAUAAAUUUGAUUGCAACCAAAUUUGAGUAUGUAAUAGAAAGCAUAACAUAGUAUUUUUUAAAAAUAUAUAAACCAUCCAAAUUGGACAUUCCAGACUAGUUUAAUAAAGGCCCGAAACUGCUCUGUUAAAGCAGUUUCUUAACUGAGCUUGAACUAGUUAUUUUUCCCAAAACAGGUUUCUACCCUUUUAAACUUACAAAUACCACUCCAUUUACUUAACAUAGUAUGCUUACAGAGUUCUUGACUUCAAACUUUAUUUAAUAUCAGUAUUUAAGCUAAGCAGCCCCUAUUAGGACUUUUAACAAACAUCAUAUGUGCAACCAGUUUUGGAACUGAUUUCAUAGGAGUUUAUACUUAUUCAAACCCAAAUUUUUCCUCCCUUAUUACUCCGCACAACAACUAGUCUCAUUUUUGCUAACUCAAAGAUAUUGCAGCCACAAAUCAUAUUGUAUCACAUAUAACUAACUAAUUGUUAUAAACUUUUUAUAAAACUUAUACUUACCUUACCACUUCUUGAAUUCAAUUAUGCUUUGAGCUGGAAAUGGACAGCUCUAAUAUCUCCUUGAUGUCUUCAAGUCCUUCCCAAUUCAAAAUUAUAACUUCACCAUCUUUGUACACUUGAAAGUGCAGCCAAAACUAAGGAAUUUGGAAAAGAUUUAAGAAUAGUAGAACUCGGAAUUGAAAGAGAAAGGGAGCAGGUAUGGAAAGUGCGAAUUUUGCUAAGGAAACUGAUUAGGAUCUUGAUUCAGUUAAUAAUAAACAUGGCUUGCUUAGUGGCUGUCUUAAUAUCUCAGCUUUUGCCAGCUCCAACUUACAUUGCUUAGUGGUUGGUUUAAAUAUUUCUUAAACUGCCACCUCCUUCUUACCAAGUGAUUCAUCAGUUUCCACUCUUGGCUUUCUCUUAAUACCA
rnacentral:lncRNA from 1 species